GGAUGUCACUGGGACAUUCCAGAUGAAGUGAGCAUUGCAUCCAGCAGGGAUGGAUCCAAGACGGUCUCCUGGGGCAUCAGGAGAGUGAGCCCCAAAGGUAGAUGGGGACCUGUGGAUCUCUCAACCACAAGACACAGCUGGUAGCAGAGGAGAACCAGAGGCAGAAUGGCCCCCCAGGCAGAGAACAGCAUGAACAAAGGCUUGGAGGGCUGCUGUAACAAAGCACCACAAACUGGGUGGCAGAAAACAACCAAGAUGCACUGUCUCACAGCUGUGGAGGCCAGAAGUCUGAAACCAAGAAGCAGCACCGGGACAAAGACUAUCGGCAAAUCCCCCCCGACACCCCCUGAGAUGGAGCAGGACAAAGACUCAAGCCUGGCCUCCCACCUCACCUGCCCAGGAAGAGGCCGGCCUUGAAGUCCCCCCAGCGAGGUGGCUCAUCUCAGAGGCCACAGGGCAGCCGCUGGCACAGCUUGUUGAGAGCAGAGCUGGAGGAGGCCCUUGCCAAACCUCUCCAGGCUAUAGUCUACCCUGCGGCGACUGACACCGGACAGGUCAGGUCGGAAUCUCCCUCCUGGUGGCAAUGACCUCUCAAGGCUUCUUCCUCUCACUGAUCUUCCCAACUCAGCAAUGUCUUCUCUAACAGGCUUGGGGUGAGGGUGAGUCUUCUUUCUCUGAGGGCACCGUCCUCUGUGACUGACCCCAGCAGCAGUCAGACUGGUCUGGCUUUGUGUCUCCCGCUUCAGACCCUGGUCUGCCCAUUGGAUACCAAGUGGAGACGCUUGAUAUGGACCCUGCAGCUCGGGGAGAAGGCAGGGCUGAAGAUAGAAACGCCAGAGUUUGGGGGGUAGGAUUUACAGACCAAGAAGUUCCUAUCUAAGGUUUGGCCUCAGAUAGGAACUUCCAUUGUGACAGGAGGGAAGGGCAGGUGGGCAAGGCGGGUACUGGGGAGAGGUCAGUGAAGGAGUUUGUGCCUAAUGGUUUGUUUUCUCCAUGAAGGAUGAGGUGGAGAGGGAACAUGGGUGUGAGGGCAGGCAGGACAGGGCUCUCCUAGGAAGCCGUGUGACGAUGGCCUGCUGGUGUCCAGUGCACACGUGAGGUUUGGGGUCAUAAAGAGAAAGAGGCCACGCAGCCCAGAUACAAGCUCUUCUACAGCAGCUCUCAGCUUCUCCAGCACAGCGGGGAGGAGCUGGGGUUUAACAGACGGGGAGGGAGGCAAGGAAGUUAACGGUAAUUGCAACAAAGGCUUAAUAAGAUGGACCAGGGACUCUAAGCUGGGUAAGGGAGGGUGGGGGGAAUGGCAGGGUCAGCAUGAUGCCACCUGGGCUCCAGGUCUAUUGACAAGACUUCUUGGGACCACUGAGGACAGCGUGCCCCAUCCAGGUGCAAUAAACCAGUUCCUCAUUGGAGCACAGUCAAGCCCGUCCUCCGUGUCCCCCACCCUGGGAUGAGGAGGGGACAGGUGAAAGCAGGCAAUCACGUGUGUCAUGAUCAAAAGGAAGGUGUUUUACAAGUUAUCUGUGGCUAAUGAUGACAAAGUGAAGCUUGGGAAUGAUUUUCUUUUUAUUGAGUCUACUGAAGGUUAUCUCUAUCAGGUCACUUUAUCUCACUUACACCGGCUAAACUUUUUCAGAGAAAUGUCUAGAGUUACACCUGCACUGUAGAUAGUGGGCAAAAUCAACAGUGUAGCUUUUUAUGCUGACCCGUGGUGAGCAGCCUCUCAAGUAGCCACUGGGGCUUUCCUCCUUGUGAAUGGCAAUGCUUUACGGAUCUCUGUGCCCAGUAAAUGGCUCACGUUUGCUAUUCCAGCUGCAGACCUUUGUGGCACAUGGAGUUGGGGCCACACAAAUUCAUAUUCAGAGGUUGCCAUGGAGACCCCUGGACGUCCACCAUCAUCUCUUUUCCUCUUCUUCCAGAGUAGGAGCUAUAUCCUGGAGUGGUUGGCCAGCUCACACUGCUUGCCAGCCUCCCUGCGGGAGUGCACAGCCAUGUGACUGAGUUUGAGAAACUUGUGUGCAUGAUGUGUGCCACAUCCAUGCCGGUGUCAUUGGCAAACUGGGCCUCCUCUACAUUCUCUUUCCAGUUUCCACAAACUGGAGCACAGAGGAACCUGCAGUCUGGCUUCAGCUAAGGGCAAAGCCAAAGGGAUGGCAAAGAAAUGAGAUGAAGAGAACCUGGGCCUCUGAGCACGGCCAAGCUACCCACCAACCAGGAAAGCUCUCUUUAGACUGUGGCUUAGGUCAGCUCACUUAGAACAGACGGUCCCGGAGGUGUACUAGGCUACACCACUCAGGAACGGCACCAGCCAGGUACAAGAGCAGAAGGUGAAUUGCAGUGAAGUCGGACAAGGGUCCUCAGCUGAUCCAGCGGGGAGCUCUGGAUCUAGGAUGGCCCUUCAGAGUUGUCCCAGAUGGAGACAAAGGGGUGGGACCUUCGUUCUCCAUAUCUACCAGUCUUUUGGGGAUGCAGGCUGCCUGCGCAAAGGCCGUAACUUGGGUGAGGCAGCUCCUUUCGCCAAGGGCGAUUCUCAGAGAUGGACUCAGCUAUGAGCCCUCAACAACUCCCCACCCCAGCCCCCAAGCACUGGGGAAGCGGUACCUCAGCCUUGAAGGCGGGAUCUGGGUGCUGCCCUACAAUAUCCACUGCAGAUUGUCACUAAGGGAGAAACUUCUAUGUUCUUUAAGCCACAACUUUAUUGUUGGGUCUCUACUACAGCAGUCUAUCCUCACCCCCAUCUAAUAAAGCUCUCUGCUUGUUUACAAGUGCACAUCCUGCCCUCAGCCAGAGAGGAACUCCCUGAGACACACACUAGGUCAGUGGUUUGCAAAGUGUGGUUCCCAGACCAGCAUCAUCAGCAUCACCCAGAAAUUGUUUUAGCUGCAGAUCUCAUGUUUCACUCCAGACCUACUGAGUCAGGAACUCUGGGGAUGGGGCCCAGCCAACUGUGUUUCAACAAGCUCUCUAAGGCACAGUGCAGAUUUGAGAACGACUGCUCUAGGAUUUCUUCCUUUAGACUCAGAGCACUAACCGCCAUGUAGAGCACACGGUGGCCUGGAAUAGGACUUCAAUUACUUGAAGUCCUGGGGUUGUGCAUUAAGGUGUCUGGGUCCCCACCCUUCCCCUCUGAGCUGGGGAAGGAGUCGCGGGUAGAGAGAUCCUCACAGCUUCGGGGCCAGACUGAUCUGGGUUCCAGUCCCAGCUGUGUCGGCUACUGGCUGACUGACCUUAGACAAAUGGCUUGCUGGGCCUCAAUUUCCUCAUCUAUACAAAGGGGAUAAGACCCAUCCUGCCUAAUUAUUGUGAGACCAACAAGAGAGAACAACCUUAGUGUCUAACAGUGCCUGGCUUCUGGCACUCACUCCAUAACUGUUAGCUCCGGGCCUUCAGUAUCCUCCAGGGCCCACCUGCUUUUUCCAAUAAAGAUUUCCAAGAGUAGGUCUAGAGCUCAUUCACAGGGGAAGAUAAAUUACCAGUAACUAAAGUACUGUGACCCUCCCAGGGGAAUUUGCAUUUUAGCUGCAGUCCAAGGAUCAAAUUACAACUUUUUUUUUUUUUUUUUUUUUUAAUAAUGGGUGGUGAGGAGGGGAGGCUUCCUUCCCAGCUCCUGAAAUCACGCUGCCUCGGGGCUCUCCUGGUAUCCCCGGACUCAUCCCUGGUAUGUCUGGACUCCUGGUAUCCCUCCCCCAAAGGCCUUUGACCUUGAGGAGGCUCCAUUCUAAUAAAAGUGCCUGUUUUUACAGACAGCUGAGCAAACCAGCUGGGCUUCAAGUGGUGAUGCUUGGACUUGUCAAAGGAGCCCCAAGCGUCCCAUUUGGAUCAGAGUGCAGAUCCUCUCCAGACCUGCUUCUUUCAUUUGAAAGUUGAAAAUCAUCCCCAAGAUAUCUUGUGGCCCAGAUCUCAGGGUUCUCCAAGGUUAGCCUGACCCCAAGAUGGAGAAAGUAAGGAAUUUCAGGGACACCAGGGAGAUCUCCUGCCCCUAAAAACCCUCUCCAACCUGCUAGUCAGGAGCUGAUAGCCCUUAACCUGGGGCCAAAACCGCCCACUCUGCAGUAGGACAGCAGACACCUGAAGAAGGGCCAAGCAGCUGCCAUUUGCAUCAAAGAUGAAGUGACUGAGAGCAAGCCUCUCCUGAGAGCUCGUCAUGGUAGGUGGAAGCUCUGGGCAGCUGAAGAGGGAGUGUGGUCAGUUCAAAGCAGCCACAGAUUCCAGUUCACUGAUCACACUCAACUUAGCAUGAAGCUGGCAUUUCAUCCCAACUCUUGCUUUUCCCUGAGGUCUUCAUUAAUUCUGCAAGCUAACUUGCUGCGUUCUGUGUCAGUGGCCAGUUACAGGAGGAAUCCAUUCCUGUCACUGUAUCCACCAUCCGUCCCCUUCCACAGCCCUGCUCUGAGAGGCUGCAUGUUUGAGAGGUUCAAAGGAUGCAUCGGGGGAGUCAGGCCUUGCAAUGUCUGUCUCCAGGGCAACUCAGUGGUCAGGAGGGAUCACUCAACUCUGUUGUGUCUUCCAGGUCCUGCAGAGAUCUUGGGCCACGUCCCGAAACAGGGAACCUUGUGCUGAGUCAGUACCAGUUAUGACCAUUGGUAUUAGGACAGAGAGUUCUGGAACUCCCCAAGCUCUUUCCCACACAUCUCACCUGUCCUCCACCUCACCCCUGUCAGGAAGGGAAGGCAGGCUUAGGCGGGAAGGCAGGCUUAGGCUGGAAGCAGGCUCAGAGAGGCUAAGGGAUUUGCCCCAGGUACACAGCUAGUGAAGGGUGAGUUGGGGCUAGUUUCCAAGUCUCCCAUCUCCAAAUCUGGGGCACUUCCCAUUGCUGAAGGAAAAGUCCCAGCAGCAAAGCCUAGAGCAGGUCUGCUCAUUCCCAUGCCAUCCACCAAAGAGGAAGAGGAAGGAGGGAGGUCUGGGCAGAACACCACCCUGGAAUCCAUGGGAAGAGCCUGCUGUAUUUAUUUCCCCAGAGCUGAUAAUUAUCCUUCUCCUUCAGUGCUGCCCAGACAUGUGUUUUGAGAUCUUACAAUGGCUUUCUCUUGUGGUUGGGGAUAGCACCUUACUUUUCCAAGGAGACAGAGGCCUGGGAUAAGAUGAGUGAAGACACUUUGUGUAUUAAAACUUUUCUCCAUUAAAGACUCCAAGAUGGAUCAGAAUGAGAGAGUCUUGAUUUAGAAGAGCAAAGUAGAUGGAAUCUAGCCUCGGAGGUCACAGCCACAGGCCUGGGGCCUUAGACAGCUGGGGAACUCAUGGUCUCUAGAGAUACGACUGAAUGUUUACAUGAGGUCAUGUGAGUGCCACUGUCCUGCUACAGUCCUUCUGGAAGGGAGUGAGGGCAUGGCUUGCCUGGUGGACUGCCCAGUGUAAGUGGUGCAGCUGAUCCCUAAAUGUUCCUGCCAAAACUGGCGUCUCUUCAGACCAGUCUAGUCAGUUGCCUAGAGGACUGAGGUAGCUUGGCAGGCUCUUCUCCCCGCAAUGUCAGAACUGGAGCCAGGCUGACUCCUUCAGAGACUGCUUUACAGAGCAAAGGAUGUCUGCUCUGUCUGGAAAUGGCAUCUCACAUGCCCCAUGCUUCCCUGGGACCCCUGGGACACUCAGUGAACCUUCCUCUUUUACUCUGAGCGUUCUCAGAGCUACACUGUGGUGGUGAGAGGGGUCUAAGUGCCUGUGAUGUUUUGACGGUAAGAGAAAAACUUCUAGGUUUGAUGUAACACACAAAAAAACCCUCCUUAUCUUAGAGAGGAAAAGGCUACUCCAUGACACUGUCCUAACAAAUACAUUAAACGGUUUUCCUGGCAUUAGCAGAUGACAAGUAUGUUCUGUAGCUAUUUCAUGCCCACUUUCCAUGAACAUGUUUGCUCAUCCUUAGAGCAAAGUCUUUCUUGUUGUUUUCUCAGAGAAGCUACAUCACCAUACCCAAAACACUACAGUCUUAGCGGCCCGAUAAAGAUCUUUAAAUAUAUUUUGGUAAUGAAAAGAUGCUCAACAUCGCUAACCAUUAGAGAAAUGCAAAUCAAAACUACAGUGAGGUACCACCUCACUCUGGUCAGAAUGGCCAUCACCAAAAAGUCCACAAAUAACAAACGCUAAAGAGGGUGUGGAGAAAAGGGAGCCCUCGUACACUGUUGGUGGGAAUGUAAAUUGGUGCAGUCACUAUGGAGAACAGUAUGGAGGUUCCCUAAAAAACUAAAAAUAGAGUUACCAUAUGAUCCAGCAAUCCCACUCCUGGGCAUAUAUCCGGACAAAACUAUAAUUUGAAAAGACGCGUGCACCCCUAUGUUCACAGCAGCACUAUUCACAAUAGCCAAGACAUGGAGACAACCUAGACGUCCAUUCACAGAUGAAUGGAUAAAGAAGAUGUGGUAUACAUACACAAUGGAAUAUUACUCAGCCAUAAAAAAGAUUGAAAUAAUGCCAUUUGCAGCAACAUGGAUGGACCUAGGGAUUAUCAUACCAAGUGAAGUAAGUCAGAAAGAGAAAGACAAAUACCAUAUGAUAUCACUUGUAUGUGGAAUCUAAAAUAUGACACAAAUGAACUUAUUUAUGAAAAGAAACAGACAGACAUAGAAAACAAACUUAUGGUUAGCAAAUGGAAAAGGGGGUGGGGCCGGGAUAAAUUAGGAGAUUGAGAUUAGCAAAUACAAAUUACUAUGUAUAAAAUAGAUAAAACAAGGUCCUGUUGUAUAGCAUAGGGAACUAUAUUCAAUAUCCUGUAAUAAACCAUAAUGGAAAAAAUAUGAAAAAGAAUAUGUACUGAAUCACUUUGCUGUACACUGAAUCACUUUGCUGUACACCAGACACUAACUGAAUCACUUUGCUGUACUGAAUCACUUUGCUGUACACCAGACACUAACACAACAUUGUAA